CCGGCGACGGGUGAGUAACGCGUAUGCAACUUACCUAUCAGGAGGGGAUAACCCGGCGAAAGUCGGACUAAUACCGCAUGAAGCAGGGGCCCCGCAUGGGGAUAUUUGCUAAAGAUUCAUCGCUGAUAGAUAGGCAUGCGUUCCAUUAGGCAGUUGGCGGGGUAACGGCCCACCAAGCCGACGAUGGAUAGGGGUUCUGAGAGGAAGGUCCCCCACAUUGGAACUGUGACACGGUCCAA
rnacentral:rRNA from 1 species